GCAACAAAACAAAAUCUAUUGGGCUGUAUAACAUUCAAUUUAAAGUAAUUUAGCAGCUCAACAUCCACCCUUUUAAUUUCACCUUUAGAUAAUCUGGUUUGGCGAUAUAUAGUUUUUAUUAAUUAGUUUUACUAUACAUUGUUUUCUGUGUUGAAUUGUAUUUUUCACUUUAUGUUUUUGCACAAAUCUCAAGUAUUUAAUUGUAAAAUCUUUCUCAUUAUGAGUUUAGCUCCAGUGAUUCCUGUGGGGAUUUUUUGCUGGUUUAGUCGGUGGUUUUUCAAGAUUUUAAUAUCUUAUACGUUUUUUUUGUUACAUAAAACUGACUUGCUGCAUAGAUAGACACUUAAAGUACUUUCUAGUGAUUUUCUUUUUUAGUUAUUUUCUUAUCUUUAGGGGUUUUUUGCAAUGCAGCAGAAACCCAUGAAGGAGGAAGGAAAGCUGGAGCUCGGAGGGUUUUUUUUUUUUAUGGGAAAUCAGCGAGCUGGCAUCAGACAACAGGAGCGCAGGUCAGAGUGACACAGCAUUACUUCACACCUCAACAAAGGCCGGCGGCGUGUAGAGUCACGCAGUUCACCCACAAACACACACUUCAACCAACAAUUUGAGCCGCCCUUUCAUACUCACACGGGGGUGGGGCAAACCGGUCCUUCUUUAAUAGAAAAUGUCAUUAUUUCCUUGUGACUUCCAGACUUUCCGCUAUUUUUCCACCAUGACAGCUGUGCAGCAGAAGCAGAAAUAAAGGGAGAAUCUGACAACUCUAAGGAGGACACUUUCUACUCUAGGUUUUCCCUCGUGGAGCUUUUGGCGUUUUAAAGUUCUGGUUCUGGUUUGCUGACACCAGUGGGGUUCGGGCUCUGCAGUGUCUUUCUUUCCAUCAACUGAUGCACAUAUUCUGUUCUCACAUACAGUAAAAGAUGUCACCUCCAUCCCAAAAAGACAUUGAUCAAGACCUGUUUGGAAUGGCUGCUUUUUUCUGAUUGUCUUUUCUUUACCGGUCUGCAUCAUCAGUGUGAAGCAUCAUAUAGUGAAUUCUCUGUUUCUGAGUAAAACGCUGACGGAUCAGAGCAGUCAGACGUUCCUGAAUCUGAACAAUAACGAGACAGAAAGUGUCUAAAGUUGCUGCUGCAACUCAGAACUGAACAAAAAAUAAUGUUUUUUUUUUUUUUUUUUACUCCAAAGAAUUAUACACCCCGGGUUGCACAGUGGUGUAGUGGUUAGCACUCUUGCCUCAAGAGGUUCAAAUCCCAGCUAGGAACUUUCUGUGUGGAGAUCCUGGUGCAUGUGAGGGUUUUGUCUGGGCACUCUGGUUUCCUCUCACAGUCCAAAAUACCCCCUAGUUGUGCCUAACAAGAGCUGGGAUAGGCUCCAGCAUCUCCAUGAUCUCAAAGGGAUUAUGCAGAUGUGUAAAAUUAAUGUAAAGAUAGAUUUGUAAGCCUUUGAAAGAUCAUAAAUUGGGUUCUUUCUUCCAUUUGGUUUUAGCAGUUUUUUUUUUUCUGUAAUCCCAAGACUACAUGGAAACAAAAACCACCACAAUCUCAACCCUUCUGACAUGAAACACGUUGUUGGACUGAGCGAGUGGUCCAGAAAAAUGUAUCAAAAGCACUCGAAGAACAUUUAAAGUCAACCUCACAAAGAGAACAGGAAUUUUAGACCAGGUUUUCUUGAGGAAAACAAAACAAACAAAAACAAAAAAAACUAAGUUUCCAAGGAAGAUCUGAUUGUCACUACUAGGUGACCAAAAAAUAAAAUGGUUUCUAUGGAGAUAAAACCGCCAUUUUUUAUAUGAAUUUGUCACAUGCAGCUCUGACCAGGGUGGCAGCACCAGAAGAGGAGAGUGAGGGGCGUGUGUCCGUCGCUCAGCUGAAUUUACUCGUCUCUGUCCGCUGACAUCCUUGGGGACAGUGUUAGAGCAGAGGCAAGUAGGUGACAGGAAAACGGAUUGGCGCAGAGGAGAAGGCCAAACGGGUGACGAAGAUCCACAGUGACAGAAGUGCUUUGCUCGUCUGUCCAGUAUGUCUGGGUGGCAAGAGGAGACGGCCUGAGGACAUGGCAACAUGCAUGCAAAACAAAGAAAGAAAAAAAA